rnacentral:rRNA from 1 species
UGGUGGUUAUGGCGGAGCGGCUGCACACGAUCCCAUCCCGAACUCGGCCGUGAAACGCUCCUGCGCCAAUGGUACUUUGUCUUAAGACAUGGGAGAGUAGGUCGCUGCCAGGUC